rnacentral:misc_RNA from 1 species
AAGUCGUAACAAGGUAUCCGUAGGUGAACCUGCGGAUGGAUCAUUAACGUCAUUGAAAGUAACGGACGCAAGUCUGUUAUCUUUUAAUAAUGUACACCCUUGUGGUGAAUAUAGGAAAUUUACAUUAAUAGUUAUUGGUAGGCAUGUUUCCUUUGGGAGACGUGUAUGCCGAUGCUAUUAGUAUUAAAGACACUAUUUUAUUAUAAUUACUGAAGUAACCUUGUGAAUCUAAAGCAUUAUAUUUUAUUAUAAUUGAUUUAUUACCAAGUAAAACAAUAAUUAAUCUUAUACAACUGCUAGCAACGGAUCACUCGGCUCUC